UACGUAGGGUGCAAGCGUUGUCCGGAAUUAUUGGGCGUAAAGAGCUCGUAGGCGGUGUGUCACGUCGGCCGUGAAAACCUGCAGCUUAACUGUGGGCGUGCGGUCGAUACGGGCAUCACUGGAGUUCGGCAGGGGAGACUGGAAUUCCUGGUGUAGCGGUGAAAUGCGCAGAUAUCAGGAGGAACACCGGUGGCGAAGGCGGGUCUCUGGGCAACAACGUGACGCUGGAGGAGCGAAAGCGUGGGGAGCGAACAGG
rnacentral:rRNA from 1 species